rnacentral:rRNA from 1 species
UAGAUUUGAUUUAAUUUUUAUUUUCUUCCUUUUGAAUACACUCCUUAAAAUUCUUUUUUUAGGGAUCAAAGUGUUUCAAAUCGUUUACUGUGAAGAAAUUAGAGUGUUCAAAGCAGGCGUAACCUAGCCUUUGAAUAUAUUAGCAUGGGAUAAUGAAAUAGGACUUUAGUUCUACUUUCGUUGGUUUCUAGGGCUGAAGUAAUGAUUAAUAGGGAUAGUUGGGGUCACUAGUAUUUAAUUGUCAGAGGUGAAAUUCUAAGAUUUAUUAAAGACUAACUACUGCGAAAGCAUUUGACAAGGAUGUUUUCAUUAAUCAAGAACGAAAGUUGGGGGAUCGAAGAUGAUCAGAUACCGUCGUAGUCUCAACCAUAAACUAUGCCGACCAAGGAUCCGGGGUUGUUAAUAUGGAUGACUCUCCGGGCACUUAUAGAGAAAUCAUAAGUAUUUGGGCUCCGGGGGGAGUAUGGUCGCAAGGCUGAAACUUAAAGGAAUUGACGGAAGGGCACCACAAGGAGUGGAACCUGCGGUUUAAUUUGACUCAACACGGGAAAACUCACCAGGUCCAGACACAGUGAGGAUUGACAGAUUGAGAGUUCUUUCUUGAUUCUGUGAGUGGUGGUGCAUGGCCGUUUCUAGUUGGUGGAGUGAUUUGUCUGGUUAAUUCCGUUAACGAACGAGACCUUAACCUAUUAAAUAGUUAUUUAAACUUGAUUUCUCGUAAAUCAAAUGUUUAACUAACUUCUUAGAGGGACUCUUCAC